CUCAGUCGGUUCGCGAUGGGGCUGGAAAAAGGGAGAGAGAGCUGGGUGUGGGGUGGGAUCGUUAUGGUGGAGGCGUGGCUACCAGGCUAGGGUAGUCAGAAUCGAGGGGAAGUAGUGGGCUGGGCUAGGAUGAAUGAAUUUCCUCCCUUUUUUUUUUCUUCUAAGAUUUCUUUUAUUUUAUUUUUUAUAGAUUUCGAUUUUCCACCAAAUUUUACAAAGAAAUGUUCAUGUACCAUUUUCAUCAUGAACCUCCCACAGAUUUGAGAUUAAUAAUCAUGCCCACUUUUUCUAUUUUGAUUGUUCUCUCAUAAUUCUUCUUUUUAAAUGAAAUUUGUAAAAGCAUUCUUUCUGGGUUUGGGUUUUAGCCAUAUUUGUAUUUUUUUCUUUUGAUGGGACAAGAUAAUAUUCCAAGAUAUGCAUAUUGAGCCAAUACAAGUUGAUUUGGAAGAUUUCUGAAGGCAUAAGAAGUAAGAGCAGAAGCAUCAUGUGAUUCAAUUUGGGGUGGGUGUAUUAAUAAGAGUAUGGCUGUCUAGGAGAUAGAGGGUUAAAUGUAAUAUAAUAAUAAUUUAGGAUAAAUAACAAUAUAAUAAUAAUUCAUGAUCCACAUAAUAUAAUAAUAAUUUAGGGUAAAUAACAAUAUAAUAAUAAUAAAAUGUGGC
rnacentral:lncRNA from 1 species